rnacentral:rRNA from 1 species
UACGGAGGGUGCAAGCGUUAUCCGGAUUUACUGGGUUUAAAGGGUGCGUAGGUGGGUCUGUAAGUCAGUGGUGAAAUCUCCGAGCUUAACUCGGAAACUGCCAUUGAUACUAUAGAUCUUGAAUUAUCUGGAGGUAAGCGGAAUAUGUCAUGUAGCGGUGAAAUGCUUAGAUAUGACAUAGAACACCAAUUGCGAAGGCAGCUUACUACGGAUCGAUUGACGCUCAGGCACGAAAGCGUGGGGAGCAAACAGG